GGACAUCAGGGAAUUGACACAGACUCAGCAGACAAAAUUACAGUCCUCGAGAAAUCUGGACAAAGAAAGGAGGUAGACAAUAUCCAACACAGAGUCGAGGAAAGCAAAUACUCAUGAAAUCAUCCAAGCAAUUCCAAGAAUGGAAAAAUAGUCAAUCAGUUCAAGAGGUGAAUCAAAAGCAACAGAGCCUCACAGAUGCACACAAUCAGUGUUUCUCUUAAGUGUUUAAGGUAAAUCAAUGUUAACUCAUUGUACUCAAGAAAGCAAGCAACAAACAGUCUUGGCAAGCCUCUAAUAUUAGCACUCAAAACAUAUGCAUGUUCAAAUCAAAAGGUCUUUUAUGGAUGUAGUGGGGCCAAGGACAAGGGAGGAUAUAUGUGGAUAAGAAGCUACAAACCAAAAGGAAUAGAGGAGAAAUGGGGAACAAGUUUAAACACAGUCAAAUCACACCCAAAACCCUCUAAUUCAAUCCUCUUCUUGACUCCAUUAUUCACAUAAUUUUUUUUUCUCAUUUUUCUGUAUUUUUUUUUUUUCAUCUUGUCUCUUUUCUUUUCUCUCUUUUCAGAACACAACUCUAAGAGACAAGAUGCACAACAUAUUUACA
rnacentral:lncRNA from 1 species